rnacentral:rRNA from 1 species
GAUGAACGCUGGCGGCGUGCCUAAUACAUGCGAGUCGAGCGAACGGACGAGAAGCUUGCUUUUCUGAUGUUAGCGGCGGACGGGUGAGUAACACGUGGAUAACCUACCUAUAAGACUGGGAUAACUUCGGGAAACCGGAGCUAAUACCGGAUAAUAUUUUGAACCGCAUGGUUCAAAAGUGAAAGACGGUCUUGCUGUCACUUAUAGAUGGAUCCGCGCUGCAUUAGCUAGUUGGUAAGGUAACGGCUUACCAAGGCAACGAUGCAUAGCCGACCUGAGAGGGUGAUCGGCCACACUGGAACUGAGACACGGUCCAGACUCCUACGGGAGGCAGCAGUAGGGAAUCUUCCGCAAUGGGCGAAAGCCUGACGGAGCAACGCCGCGUGAGUGAUGAAGGUCUUCGGAUCGUAAAACUCUGUUAUUAGGGAAGAACAUAUGUGUAAGUAACUGUGCACAUCUUGACGGUACCUAAUCAGAAAGCCACGGCUAACUACGUG